rnacentral:rRNA from 1 species
CAGCCGCCACGGUAAUACGGAGGGUGCGAGCGUUAAUCGGAAUAACUGGGCGUAAAGGGCACGCAGGCGGUGACUUAAGUGAGGUGUGAAAGCCCCGGGCUUAACCUGGGAAUUGCAUUUCAUACUGGGUCGCUAGAGUACUUUAGGGAGGGGUAGAAUUCCACGUGUAGCGGUGAAAUGCGUAGAGAUGUGGAGGAAUACCGAAGGCGAAGGCAGCCCCUUGGGAAUGUACUGACGCUCAUGUGCGAAGGCGUGGGGAGCAAACAGGAUUAGAUACCCCUGUAGUCCCUGUCUCUUAUAA